AUGGUACGUUCCCUUCGGGGACGCAGUGACAGGUGCUGCAUGGCUGUCGUCAGCUCGUGUCGUGAGAUGUUCGGUUAAGUCCGGCAACGAGCGCAACCCGUAUCGUCAGUUGCUAACAGGUAAUGCUGAGGACUCUGGCGAGACUGCCCGUGUCAAGCGGGAGGAAGGCGCGGAUGACGUCAAGUCCGUAUGGCCCUUACAUCCAGGGCUGCACACGUGCUACAAUGGUCGGUACAAUGAGACGCAACACCGCGAGGUUGAGCAAAUCUGUUAAAACCGGCCCCAGUUCGGAUUGGAGUCUGCAACUCGACUCCAUGAAGUCGGAAUCGCUAGUAAAGGGGUAUCAGCAACGGCCCCUUGAAUACGUUCCCGGGCCUUGUACACACCGCCCGUCACAUCAUGGAAGCUGGCUGCACCCGAAGUCGUCGACCCAACCCCUCGGGGAAGGAAGCGCCGAAGGUGUGUCCAGUAACUGGGAUGAAGUCGUAACAAGGUAGCCGUAGGGGAACCUGCGGCUGGAUCACCUCCUUUCUAAGGAG
rnacentral:rRNA from 1 species